AGUCCUUCGCCGUCCCUCGCCGUCCUUCGCCAUCGCACGCCACCGCACCCCAUCUCUCGAAAUCUGCAGACAUCUUGAUUUUUCCCACGCUGUCUGUCAGGUCUCCGCCGCCACUCGACGCCAGGGCGCCGGGUGAGUCCACAGCAGGGCGCAUGGUCGGCUCCACUCUCACCAUCGGGGGAAACUGAGGCCCCGGGGAAGGCGGCCAGAGAGGUCAGGCCCUGUCCUUGGUGCAGUGUCUCGUCCUCUUUGCCGGAGUGAGCCCCCCAGGAUUCGCGUGUCCUCGGGAAAGACACUGGCAGGCCUUGUGGGCUGUGCUGCACCUCGGACGGCUUCGCACCAGCCAGCGCCCUCUCUCUCCUGCAGCACUCUGAUCUGCACCCCCUGAGGGGCUUCCACUGUCCGCGGGGUGAGAAUGCCCCUGGGAGUGUCACAUGACUGCCGCCCCAUGUGUGUGAGAGGCGUCCUCUGGGAGAGCAUGGAUCCUGAGGUCCCAGGAACAUCCCGAGAGCCAAGUUCCCAGAUGCCAGCCAAGGGCCAUCUGACCUGUUUUGAAUCUCAAUUUCCUGAUACAGAAAACAAAGGAUUGUCAGCUGACCUCUGUCCUGUGUGCCCAGUGGCCCCAGGUGACGUGUCUUCAAGAAGAGGCUGAGCUGCGGUGCUUGUAAGGCAGGGUCUCAUUCUGUCACCCAGGCUGGAGUGCAGUGGUGCAAUGAUGGCUCACUGCAGCCUCGACCUGGGCUCAAGUGAUCCUCCACCUCAGCUUCCUGAGUAGCUGGGACCACAGGUCUCAGCCUUAGAUCCAAGGACAGUCCAAGGAAGUCCUAAGACCAUGGAGUUGGUGAUCUGGGAUCUGGGUUUGCUGAUAUUUCUCACCGUGAAUCUCUUGGUGGUGUUUGUGGGCACGAGAGGGGCAGAGAAUGGAGAGUGAGGCUACCACAUGAAGCGUCACCAGAGCUGCUCCCUGCUGCCUGCUCAGAGCACCCCGGAUCCACUGUUCAAUCUGCACAAGAUUCGGGGUCCAGACAUGGGAGACUUCAGCUGCCUCAGAGGACCGUGGACAGGGAAGGCCAGCCUCGCAUCCCUCUGUCCAUGCCUGGAAUGACUUUAAUAACCAAGAGUUUUAUUUUUGAAUUUGUAGCUGUCGUUCACUUUUUACCCACCCAUUCAAUAAACCUUACAGAAUUGCUCCA
rnacentral:lncRNA from 1 species